GGGAUUGUGGCUCAGAGGUAGAGCACUCGCCUAACAUGUGUGAGGCACUGGGUUCGAUCCUCAGCACCA
rnacentral:tRNA from 1 species